AGAAUUUUGGAAAGAACAAGAUGAAGAACAAGAGGAGGCAGCGGCGUGAGAGAGGGAUGAGAGCUCAAGGAAGAAAAGAAAGAAUCACUGCUUCUUUGUUGACAGGAAAAUAAUGAGAAGGAACAUGUGGUUAUAAUGGGUUUGGGUUGCUUAUCCCAUAGGUGUCCACUAGUAUUACUUAUACUCUCAAUUGGUCACUUAAAAUUUCUUAACGUAUUCCUAUCUUGGUCAAAAUUUAACUAAACUACUCACAAAGUUUCCGGUUGAUGUAUAAUUCUA
rnacentral:lncRNA from 1 species